rnacentral:rRNA from 1 species
GCCUGCUCCCUUAGGUCAGCGGCGGACGGGUGAGUAACACGUGGGUAACCUGCCUGUAAGACUGGGAUAACUCCGGGAAACCGGGGCUAAUACCGGAUGCUUGAUUGAACCGCAUGGUUCCUUAUAAAAAGGGGGUUUUAACUUCCAAUUGAAGAUUGACCCCCGGCGCAAUAACUUGUUUGGGAGGUUACGGCUCAACCAGGGCACCAUUCGUAACCCAACUUAAAGGGUGAUCGGCCCCCCUGGGACUGAAACCCGGCCCAAAACCCCACCGGAGGGCACAAUUGGGAAUCUUCCCCAAUGGAACAAAGUCUUAACGAACAACCCCCCGGGGGUUAAUAAAGGUUUCGGAACGGAAAAAUUUUUUUUUUGGGGAGAACAAGUUCCGGUCGAAAAGGGGGGGACCUUGACCGGUCCCUACCCGAAAGCCCCGGCCAAAUUCCUGCCCACCGCCCCGGUUAUUCCUAAGUUGCAAGCGUUGUCCGGAAUUAUUGGGCGUAAGGGGGGGGGAAGGCGGUUCUUAAGUCUUAAGUGGAAGCCCCCCGCUCAACCGGGGAGGGUCAUUUGGAAACUGGGGAACUUGGGUUGCCAAAAAAGAAAGUGGGAAUUCCCCGUGUAGCGGUUAAAUUGGCUAAAAGGUUUGGAAGAACCCCCAUUGCGAAAGGCACCCUUUUUGUCUUUGAUUU